CGUGUUUCAUCUACUCGUGAUUUUGAGAUUGGGAUUUCCCUCAAAGUCUUAUACUACAUUGGUUAUUCCUUCGUAUGGUGUAUAUAAGUAAGCUUUGGAAGUAUCUGUGCAAUGUAUAUGGACAUGUUUCACGUUUCACAUAUCAUUUGGAUUUUAUAAUUUCACACAUAAUUUUUUAAAACAGUGACUUGGAAAAGAUCGCAGAGCAAGAAUGCAUAGUCUUCAGGGACCUUUAUUCGUUAUACUUACCGUGCUUUAUGUACUUGCUCCAGGGAUUGCGACGAACAAUAUUCCAUACUAUUACUCAGUGUGUGUCCCUUGGGCUUGGAGUAGAGCAUAUUAUUACUGUAGAAACCAAAAUAGGGAAAAUAAAAAUAAAAUAUGCGAACUUACAUCCAAACUGGAGCGAGUUCAAACAGAAUUAGAAAGACAGAAAAAUAUCACAGCAAAUUUCAACGCAGAACUUUUAAAAAGAAUCUCCUCAUCUAUCACAGAACAGAACAGUUUAUGGCUAAAAUGCAUCACUGUAACUCCUGGGAGACAUUGCGACAUCACACAAGGUUGUGCAACUAAAGAGACAAUAUGUCGUCCAAUUAAUGUGUGAACAUUGCGAUAGUUAAUGGACAAACGUAACUACUUUAUUUUAAACAUUUAGAGUAAUUUACGUAACUACUCAACAUUUGGAGUAAUUUGUUGUCAGGAGUUUUUUCAUUAUAUCUAUUAUUGAACUGAUAGGAUAACUUGUUUAUUUAGAAAUUUUUGGUGGUAAAUUGUCAGAGACAUCGAGUUUCGAAACCACAAAAACAUACGAGUUUCAUUUAUUGUAAGAUCAGGAAGAUUUGCUUUGGCUAAUUUCAUCUUGAAAUAAGAUUUAUCUGUUUAUUAAAUUUAGACCCAUGGA